ACAGAAAUCCUCCUCUGGCAUUGCUUGGCCAUGAGCUUUAAGCCAUGAAGGCUUUGCAGCUGGGUUUUCUUCUCUUGGACUUUGCUCCUGUAUCGCGAUGGGGAAGUUUCCAGGGCAACUGGUAGGAAAGAGGAAGAUGGAGGAGAAAUAAGAGGCGCCAUCAUCAGCGUAUGCAUCGAGUACAAGCCUUGUGGUGGCACCCCCCGACACGUUUAUCAAACCAGCCCUUAGGACGCGGCUGCUGCUUCACCAUGUGGGAAAAGUGAAACAUGGAAAUGAAACUCCCUGUCAACAAACUGAUCAGAAAAAAACCCAUGGUGAAAUUCAGAGAAAAGUCUGGCCCCAUCAGACACCACACCAGCCUCCCUCGAGGAGCGUAUGGGACCUCCCCCCUGCAUUUGGCCAUUAUUUCUGCAGCGGAUGAAGAAUGGAGGAGCAGGGACUGGCAGCAAUGGGAAGAUGAUGGACUGGUGCUCUGCCAGCCUCCAAGACAGGGGCCACCUUCAAACCCCACUGCAGGGAAGGAGCACCCACACACCAUCCCCACCUCAGAUGGGCCCUGCGAGUUGGCCUGGGUCAAAGUCAGACCAGGGACCAUCUGAAAAAUUCAAUAAUCUGGACAGUAAAGAUGAAUUAACCCACCCAGAUGCAGUCAGGAAGUGUCAGGAUGGGGCAUCAACCCUUUCCCCCACCCCUGCUGUUGCUAUCUUAUAAAAUUUCCUUUUUUGAAAUGAAAUUUAAUCUUGAAAACAGAUUUCCCUUUUUUUUUUUCCUCGUCUCUACUUUCUUCUGCUCUAAUAGCUGAGAUGUUUCCUCUAA